rnacentral:lncRNA from 1 species
CUUUGUUGUUGAACUCAGCAAGUGUUUGCCAGUGUUUGGUAUUUUUGGCAGAAGUUGUUAUUGUACAUCGUAGUACUCCGCCUAUUUCGCACUCACUUCAAAUGCUUCCUUCUGUUAUCGGUCAAUUCAUAGGACAGGUAUUUCCGUCUUCGUUUUUUCCUCAAAAAACGACUUGAAAAUCAAAAUAUGGACUAAAACAGAUAAAUAGAUAUCUUUAUCUAAUUUGUGACGUAAUCUAAAAUCUUCUAUGAAAAUCUUCUCCAUCAGUGAUAAAGACAGAUGCAAGUGGGUAUGACUAAAGGGAGAGUUACCAACCGGAGAGUUAUCUCGGAG